GAUGAACGCUGGCGGCGUGCCUAACACAUGCAAGUCGAACGGAGUUAUGAUGUGAGCGGGAAGUGCUUGCACUAAACAAUCUUUUCAUAACUUAGUGGCGGACGGGUGAGUAACGCGUGGGUAACCUGCCUUAUACAGGGGGAUAACAGUUAGAAAUGACUGCUAAUACCGCAUAAGCGCACAGGAUUGCAUGAUCUAGUGUGAAAAACUCCGGUGGUAUAAGAUGGACCCGCGUCUGAUUAGCUUGUUGGCAGGGCAACGGCCUACCAAGGCGACGAUCAGUAGCCGACCUGAGAGGGUGACCGGCCACAUUGGGACUGAGACACGGCCCAAAACUCCUACGGGAGGCAGCAGUGGGGAAUAUUGCACAAUGGGGGAAACCCUGAUGCAGCGACGCCGCGUGGAGGAAGAAGGUCUUCGGAUUGUAAACUCCGUAGUUGUUGAGGAAGAUAAUGACGGUACUCAACAAGGAAGU
rnacentral:rRNA from 1 species